CGUCAUUGAACUGCGACGCUUUGGAUUUUCCCUGAGACGGAGAAGAAAGCCUUACAUUUUACCUUAAGGUUUUUACAGUAAUUAUUUAUUAUAGCGUGUACUGUACCUCAUGGUAUUUACAUCCUGCAAAGGUCUGAACUGCUGUCAAGUGACUCUUCGUCACGAUUGAGUUCCAGGAAUUUCCCAAGUGUGGGAUUAAUAAAGUCUUAUUUUAUCUCAGAAAAAUGCCCCUACAACUUCUUGAAGGGAUGUCCAGCAAGAAGCGAAGACCUAACUGGACAGACCAGGAGUGUCUUCUUCUUGCUCAUUUAAUGCAGGAGAGAAAAGACAUAAUCAGAGGGAAGUGCAGCACUGGAGUUUCAAUACAGGAUAAAAGACAAGCCUGGGAGGAAAUAUCCCAAGCCAUCAACACUGCAUUUCCACAGAUUCAGCGUACAGUUUCUGACUGUAACAAAAAGUGGGAAAAUCUGCUGGCAAAGUCAAGGAAGGAGAUCAAACAACAAAGAGCGGGCAUAGAAGGCCUGUCUCUUGAACAGUUUGGUACUGUGACUCAAGUAGUGAUUUCUGUGAUGAACCUGUCAGACAUGUUGCAACAAGACAGGAAAGACUAUUCAGUCUCAGAGUUGGUGGGAACUCAACAAAACAGAUAUGAUGAAGAUGGAAAUGAGCACACGCUAGAUGAAAGAUUCUCAAACAAACAUCCACUGAGAGUGCUUGAACUCCCGGGAUACCCAGAUCCAUCCACCUCUCCAGCCAAACAAGAAAUGGCAGCAUCCACUGACGUCCCUCAAUCACACACAGAGCAUUUUAGUACACAUCGUGCUGCUGGCUUAGCUGCUUCCUCAGAACACCUAGAUACCCCCUGCUCUACGUCCCCACACUGCAAAACUUUGCAAGAGCGAAUGGAUUUGGAAAUGUCUGUGCUGAGAAGACAAGAGGCAGUCCUCAAACUGCAAGAGGAAUAUUACACACUAAAAAUUAAGCUGAUGAAAAAGCAAAUGGAAGAGCCACUUUCAAAGGACUGAAGUAGAGAACGACCUGUUGCACCUGUUUGUGACUUGUGCCUGUCUCUGAAAUGUGAAUUCAUGUCAACUAAUAUUCAAGUAAUAUUAAUAAUUUAUAUUUGUAGUGAGUUUUGUUUAGUGAAACAAAAGCAGAUUUAAUUUGUUAGAUACACAUUUUAUACUCUGCCACUGAGAAAUAUUAAUUAAGUGUGUGUGGUCACAUUACACAAUGUCACAGCCAAGCAUUUAUAGCAAAUUUGCUUUUGGAUCCUUUAAUAUCAGUUCUUCCUUUCAUUGUGAAGAAUAAUUUGCCCUUCUGAUGAUGUGUUCUUAUGGUAAAAGUCUGCUGUCCCAUCAUUUCAGUAAAACUGUAUUUAUUAGUUAAUUUUAAUCCUUGUUUUUCCCCAAUUUGUGAUGGCUAAAGACCUUUUUUACAGCUGCCAUUUUGACUUAUCAUAACAGGAACAACACAGGUAUAACUUAUAACAUUAAUUAGGACACCAUACCAUUGAAGUGUCCCUGUAAACCCAGGGAGCCACCAUGCACAGUACCAUGAGUCUGGAAAAAGGCAUUAACAUAUCUGAAGUAGUCCCUUUGUCACUGCAAACUCCACUGUUGGCUAGUAUGGUUAGAGUGACAGCCAUGUGUUUCCUUUGACUUCCCUGUAUAUUGAUAUACAAUGAUGAGAGUAUAGUUUAUACUUAUGAGUACAACAAGAACAAAUGACAUAAUAACAAGAGCUUGAAUUAUUUCCUAGGUGAAUGCCAUGUAUCAUAUUAAUGUGGAAGUACAACUAUUACAUUUUCAAAUGUAAAAAAAAAGAGUGAAUUUGGAUACUGUAAAUGUUUGACAUAUACCAAUAUACAUAUUAAAGUGUAACUUGGUCAUGCCAAUGUUAGUAAGGCUACAAAAAUGUCUAGACAAAUGUAGUAAUUUGUGUGUAAUAUUUCUCAUAAAUCUGUUUAUUUGUAAUUGAUGGGGGUUGGCACCCAGAUGUAAGGAAUGGGGCCCAGAGUGUUGAAUAAAAGUCUGUUAUUUGC